GUGGGUAGUUUGACUGGGGCGGUCUCCUCCCAAAGAGUAACGGAGGAGCACGAAGGUUAGCUAAUCCUGGUCGGACAUCAGGAGGUUAGUGCAAUGGCAUAAGCUAGCUUGACUGCGAGCGUGACGGCGCGAGCAGGUGCGAAAGCAGGUCAUAGUGAUCCGGUGGUUCUGAAUGGAAGGGCCAUCGCUCAACGGAUAAAAGGUACUCCGGGGAUAACAGGCUGAUACCGCCCAAGAGUUCAUAUCGACGGCGGUGUUUGGCACCUCGAUGUCGGCUCAUCACAUCCUGGGGCUGAAGUAGGUCCCAAGGGUAUGGCUGUUCGCCAUUUAAAGUGGUACGCGAGCUGGGUUUAGAACGUCGUGAGACAGUUCGGUCCCUAUCUGCCGUGGGCGCUGGAGAAUUGAGGGGGGCUGCUCCUAGUACGAGAGGACCGGAGUGGACGCAUCACUGGUGUUCGGGUUGUCAUGCCAAUGGCAUUGCCCGGUAGCUAAAUGCGGAAGAGAUAAGUGCUGAAAGCAUCUAAGCACGAAACUUGCCCCGAGAUGAGUUCUCCCUGAGACUUUAAGUCUCCUGAAGGA
rnacentral:rRNA from 1 species